UUCGGCUUAGAGUUUGAUCCUGGCUCAGAUUGAACGCUGGCGGCAUGCCUUACACAUGCAAGUCGAACGGCAGCGCGGGGCAACCUGGCGGCGAGUGGCGAACGGGUGAGUAAUAUAUCGGAACGUACCAUGGAGUGGGGGAUAAAGUAGAGAAAGUUACGCUAAUACCGCAUACGAUCUACGGAUGAAAGUGGGGGCUCGCAAGACCUCAUGCUCGUGGAGCGGCCGAUAUCUGAUUAGCUAGUUGGUGGGGUAAAGGCCUACCAAGGCGACGAUCAGUAGCUGGUCUGAGAGGACGACCAGCCACACUGGGACUGAGACACGGCCCAGACUCCUACGGGAGGCAGCAGUGGGGAAUUUUGGACAAUGGGGGCAACCCUGAUCCAGCAAUG
rnacentral:rRNA from 1 species